UACGAAGGGUGCAAGCGUUACUCGGAAUUACUGGGCGUAAAGCGUGCGUAGACGGUAGCGUAAGUCAGAUGUGAAAGCCCCGGGCUCAACCUGGGAAUUGCAUUCGAGACUGAAUAGCUAGGGUACGGUAGAGGGAAGUGGAAUUUCCGGUGUAGCGGUGAAAUGCGUAGAUAUCGGAAGGAACAUCAGUGGCGAAAGCGACUUCCUGGACCAGUACCGACGUUCAGGCACGAAAGCGUGGGGAGCAAACAGG
rnacentral:rRNA from 1 species